UUCUUAUUCAGUGGAAAACCCAUCCAAGUAUUAUGCAUAAGAUAGACUCUCCCUACAUAACCAAAGAGGCAAACCUAUGUCUUGGGUCUUGUCCCCAUAUGAAGAUGAAGGCCAGAAUGAAGGUCAUUUUAGUUGGUGACUCCGGGUCUUACUUUGAUGUACUGGUAACCAGACUCUCUAUAGAAAGAAGUCUUGAUUUGUAGAGUUUGCCAAAUUCACUGUGUAAAUACUCCCACCAUAAAUAAAUGCAAAAAUGGUUUAA